GGACCAGCGUGGCGCAUCGGUUUGAGCGCUGGACUAUGACUCUGGAGAUGUGGGUUCGAAUCCCACCUCAGCCA